rnacentral:rRNA from 1 species
UACAGAGGUCUCAAGCGUUGUUCGGAUUCAUUGGGCGUAAAGGGUGCGUAGGUGGUGGGGUAAGUCGGAUGUGAAAUCCCGGGGCUCAACCCCGGAACUGCAUUCGAAACUGCCUUGCUCGAGUACUGGAGAGGAGACUGGAAUUUACGGUGUAGCAGUGAAAUGCGUAGAUAUCGUAAGGAAGACCAGUGGCGAAGGCGGGUCUCUGGACAGUUCCUGACGCUGAGGAGCGAAAGCGUGGGGAGCGAACAGG